rnacentral:misc_RNA from 1 species
AGACGAGAAAAGAGCAGCACAUCCAUGGUCAUAAUCUGCAACUACAUGAUACGUAUAAAGCUAUAUAUACCAAAUUCUAGUGGACAACAAAGAUGACGAGCUAGAUUGCAAAAUUAGACAUUGUGUUUAGGUCUUCCUUUACUUCAAGAAACAGCUCAUAUGUGCAUCCAUAUCUUCCCAAGCAAAUCAGUACUCACUUGGGAUCAAAAUAAAUGUUAAUUUGGUAAUUUUAAAUUUAAUAAAUCAGCCAAUGCGUAGGAAGAACUCGAAUGUAAGAUACACAAUCUCAUUUUAUGUGACGUACAAUUAAUUGUACUAAAAAAAACUAAAAUCAAAUCUCUCUUCUCUUCUCUUCUCGUCUCUUCUCAUCUCAUGGAUGGUUGGCUGGGAAGGGUGGGACCCAAAGGGUGGGUAAAGCAUGUGAGUAGAUUCAAUAGAAGAGGCCAUGUGAACCUGUUGGGUGUCAUGGUGCUAUGUCGCCCAGGUGUACAAUCCAAUCCCAUGUGCGCCGCUGCAGGGCAUCCCACUUACCACCCCAAUUUAUUUCUUAUUAAUUAAUUAAUUAUCAUCGACCACGGAAACCAAGUCUUCUCCGAUGAAGAUCUGCUCUUCUUUGUGCUAUGAUUAUUUCUGUAAUAUCCUGACACUUGUUUACACUAAAAUCUAUCAUAUUUACAUAUAUGAAGUAUAUAUAUAUAUAAAUUGGGUCCCAAGAUGAUUGCACAUUAAUUAAUAUUAUUUUUGCUUUUUCUUCAACUUAUUCUUUCUUUUUUUUACAUUUCUUUUAUUUUUUCCUGGGUAUAUAGAAUAAUGAUUCAAUGAUUAUUUGAUCAGAGACUGUUAGGUCAUCCAUUGGGCGGUGGUUAUAUAGGACACUAAAAAAACUGUAGGUCAAAUGGUCUUAAGGUUGUAGAGCUAAGAGAGAAGAUAACGCAUAAAAUGAAAGAAAAAAAUAUGGUCAAAUUAAGAACGUAUUGUGAUGAAGUAGCUAUGACUGAGAUCUCCAAAGGAGCUAGCUAACUUCCUGCUAAAAGAAUGCACACUUCACUCCCUACUCCCAAACCUAAAGUUGAAGUAUAUUAGUUGUUUUAAAGUGCCUGCAUAUCUAUCUUUUGUCACAAUAAAAAAGGGAAAUU